GGAACCGUGCCCGAACGCCCAGGGACCACUUUGAUAGGGUGGCCUAUGGGGGUUAAAAUCCCCCCAGUUCCU
rnacentral:tRNA from 1 species